rnacentral:rRNA from 1 species
CCUACGGGAGGCAGCAGUGGGGAAUAUUGGGCAAUGGGCGCAAGCCUGACCCAGCAACGCCGCGUGAAGGAAGAAGGCUUUCGGGUUGUAAACUUCUUUUGUCAGGGACGAAGCAAGUGACGGUACCUGACGAAUAAGCCACGGCUAACUACGUGCCAGCAGCCGCGGUAAUACGUAGGUGGCAAGCGUUAUCCGGAUUUACUGGGUGUAAAGAGAGCGUAGGCGGCACUACAAGUCUCAUGUGAAAUACCCGGGCUUAACUUGGGGGUUGCAUGGGAAACUGUAGAGCUUGAGUACAGGAGAGGCAAGCGGAAUUCCUAGUGUAGCGGUGAAAUGCAUAGAUAUUAGGAGGAACACCAGUGGCGAAGGCGGCUUGCUGGACUGAAACUGACGCUGAGGCUCGAAAGCGUGGGGAGCAAACAGGAUUAGAUACCCCUGUAGUC